AGAAGAGGAGGAUGACAACAACAACAACCACCGCCCGCCCCAGCCCAUCCUGGAGUCAGCCUUGGAGAAGAACAUGGAGAAUUACCUGCAGGAACAGAAGGAGCGGCUGGAGGAGGAGAAGGCAGCCAUCCAGGAUGACCGCAGCCUGGUGAGUGAGGAGAAGCAGAAGCUGCUGGAGGAGAAGGAGAAGAUGCUGGAGGACCUGCGGCGGGAACAGCAGGCCACAGAGCUGCUUGCGGCCAAGUACAAGGCCAUGGAGAGCAAGCUCCUCAUUGGGGGCAGGAAUAUCAUGGAUCACACCAACGAACAGCAGAAGAUGUUGGAACUGAAGAGGCAGGAGAUUGCCGAGCAGAAACGUCGUGAGCGGGAGAUGCAGCAGGAGAUGAUGCUCCGAGACGAGGAGACCAUGGAGCUCCGGGGCACCUACACGUCCCUGCAGCAGGAGGUGGAGGUCAAAACCAAGAAACUCAAGAAGCUCUACGCCAAGCUGCAGGCGGUGAAGGCGGAGAUCCAGGACCAGCAUGAUGAGUACAUCCGCGUGCGGCAGGACCUGGAGGAGGCGCAGAACGAGCAGACCCGUGAACUCAAGCUCAAGUAGGGCCCGCAGCUCUUUUCCUCGCGGGUCCCCACAGCCAGCCAUCCUUCCCUCUCCUCAUUCCCUAAGGCCUCAUCCUGACUGUCUCCUCUCCCAUGAGUCCCUUAGGAAUAAAAUGCGUCUGAGGGCUGA
rnacentral:sRNA from 1 species